UGAGGAAUAUUGGUCAAUGGGCGAGAGCCUGAACCAGCCAAGUCGCGUGAAGGAAGACUGCCCGCAAGGGUUGUAAACUUCUUUUGUAUGGGAUUAAAGUCACCUACGUGUAGGUGUUUGCAGUUACCAUACGAAUAAGCAUCGGCUAACUCCGUGCCAGCAGCCGCGGUAAUACGGGGGAUGCGAGCGUUAUCCGGAAUUAUUGGGUUUAAAGGGUGCGCAGGUGGCUAAUCAGGUCAGUGGUGAAAAGCUAUGGCUCAACCAUGGUCUUGCCAUUGAAACCGUAUAGCUAGAGAGGAGACGAGGUAGGCGGAAUGUGUGGUGUAGCGGUGAAAUGCAUAGAUAUCACACAGAACUCCGAUUGCGAAGGCAGCUUACCAGGCUUUAUCUGACACUUAGGCACGACAGCGUGGGGAUCAAACAGG
rnacentral:rRNA from 1 species